UAAAACUGUGAGACGACGUUAGACCCGGAUCCUCUCCCCCAGAUGCACGUCGCCCUCGGCUGUGGACCGGAAUUGCACCCUCGUCAUCCAACUGCAUUCGUCUUUAAGAUGAUGUAAGAGGGAACUUGAUGGGACGUUUCUCUGUCUCUCUCCUCUCGUACUGCUCGGAGGGACAUUAUCUGGAACCAUCACCCGGUCCAGUCGCUCGGUGCGCGCUGAGGUCCGGGUUGGAGAUGUGCGCGUAAUUCGGAGAAUAAAAUCCCAGGGCGACUUUUCUGAGAGGAAUGUCGUUCUCUCCUCCAAGAGAAACGUGAAGGGAAGGCGAUUGACAACUUGACUGGAACAUUUUUUUUUAGUUUAUUUAUGAUCGAGCCUUUUACAUAGAAAUAGAUUUUGGGGUCUUCGGCGGAGCGUAUCGAUGCUUGAAAUAUGACGCGCUCGCUGCUUAUGACCAUCGAUUCUUGCACAUUUACGCACGGAUCUUCUGUGGACACACCUCGGAAUCACUGCUACCAGCGGGGCUUGUGGAUGGAUCGGAACCAUGCAGCUGCACGCGACUGAAGCCUGAAGACAACGAGACUCUUUUUUUUUUUGGUUCGGACAAAAUGGCACUAAGUGAGAAUUGCAAAACGCAACCAUCCAAAGAACAGAACCCUCCAUCGGAUGUUCUCGAGCUGAACGUGGGCGGUCAGGUGUACUACACCCGUCACGCAACUUUGGCGAGCUUCCCCAAUUCUCUUCUUGGAAAACUGUUCUCUAAUAAGAAAGGGUCUUCUAACGACUUGUCGCGGGACCUAAGAGGACGUUAUUUUAUCGACAGAGAUGGUUUCCUGUUUCGAUACGUGCUGGAUUAUCUGCGAGACAAACAAGUCGUGCUCCCCGACCACUUCCCGGAGAGAGGGCGGCUGCAAAGAGAGGCUGAGUACUUCCAGCUGCCGGAGCUGGUCAAACUUUUGUCCUCCGAGGACUCCAAAGUGUGUCCAGACGACUUGUACUACAGUGAUUUGGACGAUGUGUCGCAGGGCAGUGAGCAAAGAUUCUACCCUCCUUACUCCUUAGACAGGCGGUAUGGAUACAUAACGGUCGCAGUCAGGAGCGUGUGCGCCGCUGGAGGGAGAGAGAGUGACGCCAAAGCCAAAAAGUUACCCAGAAUUUUCAUCAGCAGCCGAAUCGGUUUAGCUCAAGAGGUGUUCGGAGAUGCCCUGAACGAGAACAGGGACUCCGACAGGCCCCCGGAUCGAUACACCUGCAGAUUUUACCUCAAGUUCAAGCAGCUGGAAAGGGCUUUUGACAUGUUGUCGGAGAGCGGCUUCCACAUGGUGGCCUGCAACUCCUCCCUGACUGCGCCCCCCACCGCCCAUUACGCAGACGACAAGUUCUGGUCCAAUAACGCGCAUUACAUCUUCUACCGUGAGUGAUUGUACCCUACUUAACUUAAGUUCCAUUUUCACUGAUCAGCUGUAACAUUAUCACUUGCUAAGUACCUCUUGUGGUGAGGGGUGUUUUCUCUCUGCAGUGGCCAGUAGCUUGAAAAGAACCUGGUCAAGCUUGCAGAUUAAACGCUGACUCCUGGAGUCAUGUGAACAUUUCAAAUGAACCACUGAGAUAGUUUGUCAAAUGCAGUUUUCUGUGUUGGGGCAGGGCCAGCAGGGGCACGGCCCCUCCACACUGACAGCAUGUGACGCAUUACUGAGUGCUCAGAUUGUAACGUGAUAAACACGAUCACAUUGACACAGACACUGUGGGCAAAGACCACAACCCAACACACACAGUCUGGUCGACAAACUUAAAACCUUGUGGCCGUGUUAUAAAUGAACAGUCACAGUGCUUAGGUUCAUUUAUAUACAGAGGCUACAAGGCAAUUAAUAACAAUUAAAGUCCUUUUAAAUAGUCGCCCUGCUUGUUUAAUUUUCCGCUGCUCUAAUUUGCAUGUUGCCAUAGCACUCGGUUUGCUGGCCUCACAGGGGUGAAACUAAAUUUCAUGACAUAUCGCAAAGAAAAAUGCAUAUUUUCUUGCUCUUAAAUGGCUACAGGCAGUUUCAUUGGAGGUCCAGCAGCGGUGUCUCUGAGGGUUGGAUGUAUUCUCUGAAUCUGUACGUUCCUUUGUGGCCGAAACAUGCAAUUUAGAUGGAGCGUAAGAUAUAAAAACACUUCCUACAGGGACGAACAACGCUCCACUCUAAGUACACGUGUGUCAUGCUUUCAAAAAAACAUGACCAACUGUUUGGACUCUGCCAGCCCAUGAAUAAUAUAACGUCAGUGGGCAGCGAAACAUCCCAGCCUCGGUGCGGCUGUGUCUGGAGUCAGUUGUGCAGGAAGUUGGGCAAUCAGAAAAUGCCAUAACAAACGCGGUCCCGUUCUGGGAGAAGCUGGAGCAUAUGGCCAAUUAAACUGUUCUUGUUUCAUUAUUCCGGAGAAUCUCAUCAAACGCUGACACGAAAUGAUCCAGUUGUGGGUUGCAAAUGAGGGAGGUGUGUUUUCCUAAUGAUCUGCUUAUGAUGCUGUGCACUAGUGAUGAUCAGCUGGGACAUUAUGACCACGUGCAGGUGGUUAAUACUUGAUUUUCGCUGUCCGUGUUUGCACGUAAGGAUCUAUUGAAGGAAGUCAAGGCCAUAUGAUCCCCGGAAUACAUAGAGGAAAGGUUGGGAUUGGUUGUUCAUGGACAGCAGAGCAUGUGUGUGUCGACCCCAAUUGCAUGAAUAGCCUUUACAAACUGAAUGAAUGAAAGAGGUAUACUGAUGGUCAUAAUGUUUUUGCUGAUCAGUGUAUGAUGAGCAUUCUUGCUUUAGCUUUCAAACCACUCGACGUAUCCUUUCUCCUAGUGCCAUUAUGUUAGAUUUAGAUAGGCCUAGAUAAUUCCUGGGGGCGGUUCACUCUUCUCUCUUUCCUGCCCGCAGCGCUCUGCUGAACUAAGUCAAAAGCAAAAAAAAACCUUGGUCAGUUGACUUAUUUGGCUACAGAAAACUGAAGUGGACAAAAGAACUUGGCAAGCCAGGAGAGUGGACUGAGAUCCCGGGAGAAUGCUUUUCAAUAACCCAGAGAGGACGGACUCAGAUGGGUUGUUGUUUUUUUUUUUCUUUUAGAUUCUAACACUUGAUGGUGGACCGUCUCGUUGGUCCUCCUCCCACUGCGACUGCUGUUGCAAGAGCCACAAGAGUGAACGCGAGGGAGAGAGCGGCACAUCCUUCAACGAGCUCUCCACUUCCUGUUCCGAGACCCAGUCCGAAGCCAGUUCGCCG